rnacentral:lncRNA from 1 species
AUGGUUCGCAGACAGGUCAAAUCGGGUAAGAAUCCAGAGCCACUCCAGACCCCUAGUCAGGCGACGCAGCAAGGGGAGCCCCAGUAUGCGAACCUGGAGCUGCAGACGUGGCCCCUUCGGGGAGAGCCCAUGCACCCCAGGCAGGUGGAGGUGGAAUACAGCACAGUGAAAGCUCCCAGGGAAGAGCCUCACUACUCGUC